GGUGAUGUAGCUCAGCUGGUUAGAGCGACGGAUUCAUAAUCCGUAGGUCGAGGGUUCAAGUCCCCCCAUCACCACCA
rnacentral:tRNA from 25 species